rnacentral:rRNA from 1 species
GAUGAACGCUGGCGGCGUGCCUAAUACAUGCAAGUCGAGCGAACGGACGAGAAGCUUGCUUCUCUGAUGUUAGCGGCGGACGGGUGAGUAACACGUGGAUAACCUACCUAUAAGACUGGGAUAACUUCGGGAAACCGGAGCUAAUACCGGAUAAUAUUUUGAACCGCAUGGUUCAAAAGUGAAGGACGGUCUUGCUGUCACUUAUAGAUGGAUCCGCGCUGCAUUAGCUAGUUGGUAAGGUAACGGCUUACCAAGGCAACGAUGCAUAGCCGACCUGAGAGGGUGAUCGGCCACACUGGAACUGAGACACGGUCCAGACUCCUACGGGAGGCAGCAGUAGGGAAUCUUCCGCAAUGGGCGAAAGCCUGACGGAGCAACGCCGCGUGAGUGAUGAAGGUCUGCGGAUCGUAAAACUCUGUUAUUAGGGAAGAACAUAUGUGUAAGUAACUGUGCACAUCUCGACGGUACCUAAUCAGAAAGCCACGGCUAACUACGU